rnacentral:lncRNA from 1 species
GGCCUCAUUACCAUCUCUCCUCUCCAGGGAACAGCAGUCAGAGAGCCUAGUCCCCAGGGAAGAGCAGCAGCCUUGCAGUUUAUAUGGCGAGACUGGUACUCAGGACCCAAAAUACUGGGAAAUAACCUAAGACAAACACGAUGCUGUGUGAGACCCCGCAGAUGACAUUUACUAAACCAUCAGAAUGUGGAGAAUCACUCUGAUACCCUGCAGUACCAGGUCCUGCUACUCCUUCCUCUGUAUUUCAGGCAACCUGAACGCACCUUGUCCCACUUCUGGCCUCUUCACCUGCCUUACCUCUGUCUGUAAAUUACAAACCUGCUUCCAGUUUCAUAACUUUCCAGAUCUUACAAGGCUCAGGUCACAGCAGCCUCAUUAUUCUUUCUCAACCACACCAAAGACCUGCCCUGCAUGCUCCCCACUCAGGUGCCCACAUGGCUUGUUCUUCUUUUCCCUUUGGGUCUUAGCUCAAAUGUGACCCCCCUCACACAGGGCUUUCUCAACUACCUUGUCUGAAACAGCACCCUGGGAGUUCUUCAUUCAUUUUUUUCAACAUCAAUGAAAUGUAUUCUUGAACUUUUAUUUAUUCCGAAGGGUAAUACACAAAGCACAAAGCCUUCCUCAACCUGCUGGGGGUCUGUCUCUUGCGCCAGACUCACAGACAGGGAGUCUUCCUUGUUUGACACCACCUAGUGGCUUCGGGUCUGAAUUACU